rnacentral:rRNA from 1 species
UUAUCCUACGGGGGGCAGCAGUGGGGGAUAUUGCACAAUGGGGGAAACCCUGAUGCAGCGACGCCGCGUGAGUGAAGAAGUAUUUCGGUACGUAAAGCUCUAUCAGCAGGGAAGAAUAAUGACGGUACCUGACUAAGAAGCCCCGGCUAACUACGUGCCAGCAGCCGCGGUAAUACGUAGGGGGCAAGCGUUAUCCGGAUUUACUGGGUGUAAAGGGAGCGUAGACGGCAUAGCACGUCUGAAGUGAAAGCCCGUGGCUCAACCGCGGAACUGCUUUGGAAACUGUUAAGCUG